UAGGGAAUCUUCGGCAAUGGACGAAAGUCUGACCGAGCAACGCCGCGUGAGUGAAGAAGGUUUUCGGAUCGUAAAACUCUGUUGUUAGAGAAGAACAAGGACGUUAGUAACUGAACGUCCCCUGACGGUAUCUAACCAGAAAGCCACGGCUAACUACGUGCCAGCAGCCGCGGUAAUACGUAGGUGGCAAGCGUUGUCCGGAUUUAUUGGGCGUAAAGCGAGCGCAGGCGGUUUCUUAAGUCUGAUGUGAAAGCCCCCGGCUCAACCGGGGAGGGUCAUUGGAAACUGGGAGACUUGAGUGCGGAAGAGGAGAGUGGAAUUCCAUGUGUAGCGGUGAAAUGCGUAGAUAUAUGGAGGAACACCAGUGGCGAAGGCGGCUCUCUGGUCUGUAACUGACGCUGAGGCUCGAAAGCGUGGGGAGCAAACAGG
rnacentral:rRNA from 2 species